AGAACAUCCGGUUUGAAUACAUGUGUUUUCUGACUUUUCGGAUAGCCAACUCUUGUUUUUUGGAACUUACGACUUGUGGCAAGAGAGGAGAAAACUGUGUGACUUUAAAAGAAAACCAGUGAGAUAAAAUCAUAGAAAAUGUAUGAUGAUUCAGGAUGUGGUCAUUUGUGACAUUAAAACAGGAAUUGUCAUCACCAAUAGACAAAUUUCACAUUCCUAAGAGUUUUCUCCAAUUGUCGGCGUAUCGCUCAUUUUUCCCACUUUGUCCUUUGUCCUGUUCUGUGGAUGCCCUAAGACAGUGUCUACCCAUCACGCCAUCUGAUAAUGACUUGUUCUGAGCAUAUAUUUCUCUCCCAAACUUAAACUACAGAGAGCCUGUGGAUAGAGGAUGAAGAGUGACCUUCGACUAAUUUUCUAGGUCAA